UUCAGCUUCUACAAAUUCUUGAGGUGCAUUUUUCUACUUUUGUGGCAGGAGGAAGGCUACAUGCGGUGUCAACGAGGGUGUCCAAAGGGCUAAUCCUGGAUUUUUUAUGUUAAAAAAUGUAGUAAAACUGGAAAAUGUGUGCUGGUACUUACGAAAGGGCAAAAUCGCGAGUAUCCAAAGGGCUAAUCGAAAGUUUGAUUGCCAUACUGCAACCUUGAGGUUGUCACUGAUAUGAGCAUGCAACAGGCACAGGCAAAGUACUAAUGUUUAUUUGCUGGCUUUAAACCUUACUAGAGGAAUCCCAUUAACCCCUAGAGAGAAGCAAAACCACGCUAAAGAUUCUCAACCCACCCGCACCAUGAAGAACAUGAAAUCUCUGGUGGUCAAGGUAUUGAUGUUUUGAUGAAUGUGGAGCACUCAAGUUGACCUCUGGUUGCCUCAAAGCUGGCCCCUGGCAUGUCCGAUAUGUUUUCCUUUUGUUCACAUGUUUGUGGUAUGGUUUCUUUAUUUGGGGUGGUCAUUUUGGCCCAUUUACUUUUGAAUGGGUCGAUUCGGGUUAUCCUGUCUAACGGGUCACCUAAAGCCUGUAAUUUAUUACAU